UUAGAAGUGGACGAGCCCCAAAAGGUGUCGGCAGAUCGCAGUCGUACUUGGGAGGCUGGGGCCUGGGGCCUGUCGCCGAUCGCCUGUCUCCCAUCGAUUAUCGCCCAACGCGGCGACUGCAUUCAGAGCUGCCGCCCGUGCCGCCUGUGUCGCCCGUGCUGGGCGCCUAAUGACUGGGAAAGUGUUCAAAGCUCAAACGUUUGCAAUUCUUAAACGUAUUCUGAUAAGAUUCUAUACAGUAGCCCGCAGCUGAUUAAUCCUUAACCCGACAAAUUGAUAAGACGGCUGGCUCUCGACUAUUUAGAGAUGUCUAAUUAAUGUGUCGCGCAAGCCUUUUAUGGGAUUUUUCCUGCACCACUUGCACACUUUUGUUGGGGGACCUCAGUCCCCUUAUCGGGAGGUGCGGCUUAUUGACGCCUCUACAAACUAGUACCAAGAAA